rnacentral:rRNA from 1 species
AACGAACGCUGGCGGCAUGCCUAACACAUGCAAGUCGAACGAGACCUUCGGGUCUAGUGGCGCACGGGUGCGUAACGCGUGGGAACCUGCCCUUAGGUUCGGAAUAACUCCCCGAAGGGGGUGCUAAUACCGGCUAAUGUCUUCGGACCAAAGAUUUAUCGCCUUUGGAUGGGCCCGCGUUGGAUUAGCUAGUUGGUAGGGUAAAAGCCUACCAAGGCGACGAUCCAUAGCUGGUCUGAGAGGAUGAUCAGCCACACUGGGACUGAGACACGGCCCAGACUCCUACGGGAGGCAGCAGUGGGGAAUAUUGGACAAUGGGCGAAAGCCUGAUCCAGCAAUGCCGCGUGAGUGAUGAAGGCCUUAGGGUUGUAAAGCUCUUUUACCCGGGAUGAUAAUGACAGUACCGGGAGAAUAAGCUCCGGCUAACUCCGUG